rnacentral:rRNA from 1 species
AUUGAACGCUGGCGGCAGGCCUAACACAUGCAAGUCGAGCGAGCGGCGGACGGGUGAGUAAUGUCUGGGAAACUGCCUGAUGGAGGGGGAUAACUACUGUAAACGGUAUCUCAUACCGCAUACCAUCAGAUGUGCCCCGAUGGGAUUAGAUAGUAGGUGGGGUAACGGCUCACCUAGGCGACGCUCCCUAGCUGGUCUGAGAGGAUGACCAGCCACACUGGAACUUGGACACGGUCCAGACUCCUACGGGAGGCAGCAGUGGGGAAUAUUGCACAAUGGGCGCAAGCCUGAUGCAGCCAUGCCGCGUGUAUGAAGAAGGCCUUCGGGUUGUAAAGUACUUUCAGCGGGGAGGCGUUACCCGCAGAAGAAGCACCGGCUAACUCCGUGCCAGCAGCCGCGGUAAUAC